rnacentral:rRNA from 1 species
GACGGAGGAUGCAAGCGUUGUCCGGAAUUAUUGGGCGUAAAGCGUUCGUAGGCGGCAUGUCAAGUCUGAUGUUAAAGCCCGGAGCUCAACUCCGGUUCGGCAUUGGAUACUGGCAAGCUAGAGUGCAGGAGAGGCAAAGGGAAUUCCCAGUGUAGCGGUGAAAUGCGUAGAUAUUGGGAGGAACACCGGUGGCGUAAGCGCUUUGCUGGACUGUAACUGACGCUGAGGAACGAAAGCCAGGGGAGCAAAUGUG